AAAUUUUAUUUUAUUAGUUUUAUGAUAUUUAGAGAUUUAUAAAAAUGUUAUUGUAACUUGUCGGGAAAGGUUUUGUUGCGAGUUAUUUCGAAAAUUAGUUGGAUAGCGGGUUCAAAAUAUUGACUAUGCAGUUUUAAUUAGAUACGUGGCAACUCAAAAACUUUGCACGUGUUUAAUACUUUUCAUCCACCGCCUGUUUUAUUUUCUUUAGCGGAAACAUCACAACUCUCGUCUCUCUUUAAUCUCUCACUCUCGUCUCUCUCUAAUCUCUCAUUCUCUCGCACGUCUCUCUUCUCGCCCAAAUCACUCCUGAUCUUGUGUUUAUGCUCUUUCUCCUUCUGUCACUGUUGCAACCGCCGGGUCUCUGCCGCCGCUUUCUCUCCUGGCCAGAACUGCCACCGCCUGUACUUCCUCUUUCCGGCGACCACCAUAGCCUGUCACCAGUUAUAAAUCAGUGGAAUUGAACGAGACGUUGGCAUUGAUCGAGAAGUGAUUGAAAUGGUUAUUCAGAAAUAGCUAGAUUGUGUUGCAAGUUGAAGUUAGGCAGAGAUUGCUAUAUAUAGAAUCUUGUCAGAAGCUGGCAGAAAGGAAUUAUAUGGCGGUGUAUAGUGUUAUUAGAAAUCUGAGCAAGACACCGGAAUUAAGCUAGGAAUAAAGAUGAUUCACCUAAGACUAGGCAAGGAUUGCAAGUGGUUGAAUUUCAAGCAGAUGGUCAGGUAGAGUAUCCAGGGCGAUGUCAUUAAGAAUAGAUGCAGUUGGAGUUCUGCAAUUCAACUCAGUUGGAGAUUAGAUUUGUUUAUUUGGUUAUCAGCUACUCUUCUUAUCGAGGUUUAGCUGAUAAUGUAGUUUAAUUUGUAAUUAAGAAUUUAGAGUUUUAGUUUCUGAUUUCAAUGCUGUAAUCUGUGUGCGAUCCUGUUUUCAGGGGGUGAAAUUGAUUUUGAAUUUAAAUCAUUUUCUUUUAAAAAAAAAAUAUUCAGGUUUAGAAAUA